GGAUUAUUUUAUCUACCACCUGAUUUAUAAAAUCUUUAUCUGCAUGACAUGGCAAUUUAUCGCAACCUAGCCUCUCAAGGCUGAAUACACAGUACAAAUAAUUCGAACACCAAAAAUCAGUUUAGCCAUUCAUGCUCAUAUAUUGUCAUAAGCCAUUCAAUUUAAAACCAUAAAUUUACAACACAUCAAGUGGUCUUCAAUUACUCUAUUUUCAAAAUCAUUAUUUAAUUUAUAAAAAUUUAUAAAAUCACAUUUAUUCAAAAAGCAUAACAAUUUACCAUUUAAACCCAUUUUACCAUAAAAUCACAAAAACGAAUAAAAACUACUUUAGAUAAUUAAGACGAUAGUAAGGUUACUCACAGUAUCAGGAGUAGAAAUACUCCUAGUCCCAGUCUUUGGUGUAAUCUCUUUAUUUUUAUCAAAUAGCUCACCACCUAUACAUCACACAUGACACAAAAUUCAAUAAUUUGUGUCAAUUUAUCAUAAACUAUUUCAGGCUCUCUAAAUCUAAAUGAAUGCAUGCGAUGGGAUGCAAAAUGUCCGAUUAAUCACUUAAACGUGAUAUUUAACCUAAGUCACACUAUACUCGAUCUAAUCGGCUAAAAUCUCCAAUUUAACUCUAAAUCAAUUUUUCUCACUUUCUACACUUCAAUUAUACCUAAAUUACCUCAGUGACUAUGAAUGAAAUUCAAUUUAUCAGCCCCGGGUCAAUAAUCACACAUGUCUAUAUGUUGAGCAAAAAUUCAGAUUUUCACACCAAAAUUUCUCAUUUAAUUUCUAGCCUCACCAAACAUCAAAUAUCAUUAAUUUCAGCCACAAUAUCCUCCCUAGAAAAUUCGUCCAAUGAAGAACACAUAAGGAAUGGGUGAUUUUCAAGCUUGAUUCUUACACUAAACACCAUAAAUCAUUGAAAACAUCCAUAUAACUUAAAAUCCAACCAAACCAUCACCAAACUCUCUCUCUCUAGAAUUCGGCCUUCAUGGGUUUCAUCAUGCCAACUCAAUUUUCAGCCAGGGAAAUAAGAAAAUAAAGCAUGGGUAUGCUAGAUCUCAAGCAAAAAUUGAAAAAUCAUACCUUAUCUUGCUUGAUUCCUUGAAAUUUCCACAAUUUUUCUUGAAAUUCUCUUAUCUAGGGUUUUUUCUAGUUUUUCCUUUCUUUCCU
rnacentral:lncRNA from 1 species